rnacentral:rRNA from 1 species
AUUGAACGCUGGCGGAAUGCUUUACACAUGCAAGUCGAACGGCAGCACGGGGGCAGCCCUGGUGGCGAGUGGCGAACGGGUGAGUAAUACAUCGGAACGUGCCCGGUCGUGGGGGAUAACGUAGCGAAAGUUACGCUAAUACCGCAUACGAUCUGAGGAUGAGAGCGGGGGACCUUCGGGCCUCGCGCGAUCGGAGCGGCCGAUGUCAGAUUAGGUAGUUGGUGGGGUAAAGGCCUACCAAGCCGACGAUCUGUAGCUGGUCUGAGAGGACGACCAGCCACACUGGGACUGAGACACGGCCCAGACUCCUACGGGAGGCAGCAGUGGGGAAUUUUGGACAAUGGGCGCAAGCCUGAUCCAGCCAUUCCGCGUGCAGGACGAAGGCCUUCGGGUUGUAAACUGCUUUUGUACGGAACGAAAAGGCUCUGGCUAAUACCUGGGGCUCAUGACGGUACCGUAAGAAUAAGCACCGGCUAACUACGUG